GAAAAGAAAGAAAUCAAGGCUUCUGUCUUGAGCAAUAGAAUGGAGAAAGACGUCAAUUACCAAGGAAUUACCAAGCUACCUCUGCCUGCACGGGAAGCCAGGAAAUGCUUAGCUGGGAGCUCAAGGUGAAAAGGAUUUGGUGAACAACCAGCUAGUCUCUGCCACUGCAUCUUAUUUUGAGACACCUCUUAGAUAUCCAGGAAAAGGGAGAACCUGCCAUGUGGGGUUGGAUUGGAGCUGAAGGCAUCAGGAUUGGAGGGAUUCAUCAAUGUAUGUGUGUGCGUAUGAACUCAUACUCUGUAUAUAUUUGUAUGAAUUGUAUAUGCUGUAUAAGGAUGUUUCAGUCAAUGACAGACUGCAUAUACAGUGGUGGUCC